UACGGAGGGUGCAAGCGUUAUCCGGAAUCAUUGGGUUUAAAGGGUCCGCAGGCGGGAUUAUAAGUCAGUGGUGAAAUCUCAUAGCUUAACUAUGAAACUGCCAUUGAUACUGUAGUUCUUGAAUGUGGUCGAAGUGGGCGGAAUAUGACAUGUAGCGGUGAAAUGCAUAGAUAUGUCAUAGAACACCGAUAGCGAAGGCAGCUCACUAGGCCAUAAUUGACGCUCAUGGACGAAAGCGUGGGGAGCAAACAGG
rnacentral:rRNA from 1 species